CCUACGGGAGGCAGCAGUGGGGAAUAUUGCACAAUGGGGGAAACCCUGAUGCAGCGACGCCGCGUGAGCGAUGAAGUAUUUCGGUAUGUAAAGCUCUAUCAGCAGGGAAGAAAAUGACGGUACCUGACUAAGAAGCCCCGGCUAACUACGUGCCAGCAGCCGCGGUAAUACGUAGGGGGCAAGCGUUAUCCGGAUUUACUGGGUGUAAAGGGAGCGUAGACGGCGGUGCAAGCCAGAUGUGAAAGCCCGCGGCUCAACCCGGGAAGUGCAUUUGAAACUGUGUUGCUAGAGUGCAGGAGAGGUGGGAGGAAUUCCUAGUGUAGCGGUGAAAUGCGUAGAUAUUAGGAGGAACACCAGUGGCGAAGGCGGCGCGCUGGACGGUGACUGACGCUGAGGCUCGAAAGCGUGGGGAGCAAACAGGAUUAGAUACCCUUGUAGUC
rnacentral:rRNA from 1 species